ensembl:lncRNA
GUCUUGUGAAGAAAGGGAUUGAUUUAUUGAUAAAUAUGGAUAAAUAUCAUCAUGACUGGCAUAACUUGAUGUUAAUCAUGACCUUAUUUUUUUCUUGUUAAGCUUCAGAGAACGUUAAACAUCCUCCUGCCUCCUCUAAAUUAAAGCCAGAUGCUCCUCAAGUUCUUUUUUUCCAUUAUCUCAUUAUGUCCCACGAUUUUUUUACCCAUCUGAGUUGAGAUUGAUGCCUCUCUCUAUCCUCUUUCUACUCUUGCCCACCCUCCACCCGGCUCUUUGAAGAACCGCUGCUCUGCCAGGUGAGUCGGUGCCUCGUGAGCACCUGCAACCACCUGCAACCACCCCGCCCUCCCUCCUCAGUCUUCUGUCCCGCUCACUGAUACCUCCAGAUUAAUGCCAGGUAAUUUGCUCCUGACCGCGCACCACCUUGUUCCUCCUCCUACCCCCUCUCCAGAUGAGACAUGCACAUUUCUUUUAGCCACCUGAGUUCCUCUGUUUUGUGUUUGUAAGCCCCUCCUUUUGUUCUUUUUUCAUUCUGCUAACUAAGCUUUCCUCAUCCAUUCCGUUGCUCUGUCCUACCCCUUCAUCCUUGCCCUCUUUCUCUGUCUCUCCUAUACCCCCUUCAUCCGUCUAUCAGAGACAGAGCCAUAUGGCCGGGUGCGGCCCAGGCCUGCCCAGCUCUCAGCCUCGUUUAAAUUCACAGCCUGGGGGUCAUUCUGCCUCUGCAGUGGGACGAUGAGAAACUGCUACGGAGGAAGGGCGGCUAAAAGCCACUGAUGAGAAGAGAUGGGAAGGGGAGAGGAGCAGGAACAACUGCGGCAGGGGGGGAAAAAAACCAAACUACAGCCUGAAAUUCUUAAUUAUAGAAUCAACAAAGGCCGUCAACAGCGAAGGGUGGAAGAAAAGUGGAAAAAGAAACAGCACAAAGGAGAGGGAUAACUGUAAGGAGAGCAGUCAAGGAGGAGAAAAUGAGGCGGGACUAAGAAGAAAGUAGCUCAGAGAGAGUGAAGGCCAGCGACAGGUUGGAAAGGAGCAGAUAAGCUGAGAGGAACGCUCAGAGGAGGGAAGGAGCGGAGCGAAACAGCGGGCAUUAAAAGAGAAGAGGUGUGAAAUUGAAACCAAUAAAUCCAGAACAGAUUCCUACAGUCGUGGGAGCCACAGUGACCGUAACACACGGCCUCGCCGGUGUUCUCUUUUUAAUUUGAGCCGGGCCUAUUGUUGUCGGAGCAGACUUCAACUUGUCAAACAUUUGUGUUCAGUGACACCAGGUUUAACGUCUCAACUGAGUUCUGAGUGCCUUUAAAAUUACUUUUCAACAAAAAAAGCAACAUGUUGCAUCAUAGCAGUGAAAAAAAUACUGCUAUAAAACUUUUUAUUUCUUGUCAGGAUGUAAUGUUUAUCACAAUUUACAGUCCCGUGAACAAGUAUUUGCCCCCUUUGUAAUUUCUUAGUUAUUUGCACAUUUGUCAAACUUAAAAAUGUCAUAUUAUCAAACAAAUUGUAAGAUUACACACAGAUAAUGCGAAGAAAUAAUACCCUUAUUUUUAAUGGAUGAUUUCUCUUAUUAAGGGGAAAAAAGGCUCCAUGUCAGUGUUUAGGCUUCCUGUUUUAUUUUGAUAGUCUCUCAGCUCAUGUGCGUUGUGUUCCCCUCUUGGUUGUUAAUUGGUUCUGUUCACCUCCACCUUGUUUUCCCCAACUGUGUCUCUUUCCCUGAUUACCUCACGUGUAUUUAAUCCCUCAGUUUUUAUUGGCACUAUGUUGUAUUGUACUGUUUGUCCUGCUUGUCUGCCUGAGUGUUCUCCUCAUAUGUUUCCUGGUUUCUUUUACCACCUGGACUUGCUG